CGCGUGGUUCUAUUUUGUUGGUUUUUAGAACCGCCGUAAUGAUUAAUAGGGACAGUCGGGGGCAUCUGUAUUCAAUUGUCAGAGGUGAAAUUCUUGGAUCUAUUGAAGACAAACUACUGCGAAAGCAUUUGCCAAGGAUGUUUUCAUUGAUAAGGAACGAAAGUUAGGGGAUCGAAGACGAUCAGAUACCGUCGUAGUCUUAACUAUAAACUAUGCCGACUAGGGAUCGGACGAUGUUAUUUUUUGACUCGUUCGGCACCUUUCGAGAAAUCAAAGUGCUUAGGCUCCAGGGGGAGUAUGGUCGCAAGGCUGAAACUUAAAGAAAUUGACGGAAGGGCGCCACCAGGGGUGGAACCUGCGGCUUAAUUUGACUCAACACGGGGAAACUCACCAGGUCCAGACACAGUGAGGAUUGACAGAUUGAUAGCUCUUUCUUGAUUCUGUGGGUGGUGGUGCAUGGCCGUUCUUAGUUGGUGGAGUGAUUUGUCUGCUUAAUUGCGAUAACGAACGAGACCUUAACCUGCUAAAUAGCNCGUUCUGCUCCGGCAGUACGCUGGCUUCUUAGAGGGACUAUCGGCUCAAGCCGAUGGAAGUUUGAGGCAAUAACAGGUCUGUGAUGCCCUUANAUGUCCUGGGCCGCACGCGCGUUACACUGACAAAGCCAGCGAGUAUUUCCUUANCCGGANGGNUUGGGUAAUCUUGNUAAACUUUGUCGUGC
rnacentral:rRNA from 1 species